CCGCCCGCCCGGCCUGCCCAGCCGUGGGAGCUGCCAGCUCGCUCCUCGCCCUCCCGCUGCCCGCAGGCCCUGCCAGGCUGGGCGCAAGAAAGCGUGUUUACUAACACCAUCCGCACGGCUCCCUGGGCACCGCGGCUCUGCCCAGAAGAUGUCAGGCCCCGGGCACCGGGAGAACACUUUGUAGGUACCAGGAAUCCAGACAUAGGCCAAGGAGGACCCAGGCUUCCCAAGAACACUUUGUCUACACACGGUACAGGUGGCUACCUGGCUGGAUUCUGUUCCAUGCCUACCCUGAGCGGAGACCUGUCCCUUCAGGCUCUUAAGACACACAUUCCACCGCCCCGCCCCCAAUGAGCCAAAGACCUGGGUUCCAUCCUGCAUGCAGCUCCCCAUCGCUCCUGGGAUAUCAUCCAAACUUGACAUGGUUGGCAAGGCUGUUCAUAAUCUGCCUCCUGUCUGCCUCUCCCGCCUCAUGCCUCCACCAUGCCAGGCCACAGCCUGGGCCGCAGCCAAACUGAAUUCCACCUGGUGUCUUUGCUUGGCCUCUAGCUUCAUAUCACCGUUUCCUGUACCUGGAAGCCUCUUUCCCACCCGGGGAAGAGGACUUGGUCCCUCCAUCCCCACCCUUCCAGUGCCUUUCACAGAAGGGCAUCAUGGCCUUGUGUUCACAGAGGGGGCGCUUUCCCGGGCUGUGGAGAGGAGAGAGAGUCAGGGAAGUUGUCUUCCAAGAGACAACAACUCCCUGGGUCUUGUUCUGUUUCUUGCUAGAAGAACUGACUGGCUGGCGGAUGGUUGUGGAGGAGACUUCCACGCUGAAAUGCAUGGGAGGCCAGAUCUCCUUCCGGAGGGGCUCAGACUACUGCUCAGACUACAAUUGCCCACGACCACUUCUGAGCCCCACAGCUGGACAAACCCAGGGUCAGAACGGGCAGUGUGUCUGGCUCUCGACGCUGGUGACUUUGAUAAAAGACAACUGUGGAUGUUUGGAAAUACCAGGAAAUACCAAGACAAUUUGAAAGAGGUCCCAAACAUCAACUUAAGGAGGAAAGCUUCGUAACCACUUGGGGCCAAUGGAGCCAGAAGACAAGAGUCAUGGGCAUUUUGUCAUUUUCUGAUUGGAGAUUUGAGAAGGCUUCCACAGGAGAAAUCAUACUCUCCGGGAAGAUAGGAGUCCAAGUCUCCUGGUCUUCGGCUGGUGACCUCAGACAAGCCUUGACCUCUCCGAGUGAGCCUCAGUCUCCUCCUCUGUGUAAAGUCUACAUAGUCCUUAAAAGCCCUUCCCUGUCUCACAUUGUUAGAACCUCUUUUUUGGAACUCAACAUUCACCCCCAUUGUGGCUGAAACGCCAGAGUCAUGACUGUAAGAUUUUCAGUAGAAAAAAGGAUUAAAUUAAAACAAAUAAUUUGCACUUGGAUACACAACCCCAAAUGAUCAACAGGAUCACACAGCUUGACAGCAACCCAUCAUUUAGACAAAGAUGUGUGAAAUCAAGAGACGUUGAAAAUAAAAAAAUAAAAAAAUAAAAAAGAGACGUUGAAAAU